rnacentral:rRNA from 1 species
AUUGAACGCUGGCGGAAUGCUUUACACAUGCAAGUCGAACGGCAGCAUAGGUGCUUGCACCUGAUGGCGAGUGGCGGACGGGUGAGUAAUACAUCGGAACGUGCCCAGUCGUGGGGGAUAACGUAGCGAAAGUUACGCUAAUACCGCAUACGAUCUAAGGAUGAAAGCGGGGGACCGUAAGGCCUCGCGCGAUUGGAGCGGCCGAUGUCAGAUUAGGUAGUUGGUGAGGUAAAGGCUCACCAAGCCGACGAUCUGUAGCUGGUCUGUGAGGACGACCAGCCACACUGGGACUGAGACACGGCCCAGACUCCUACGGGAGGCAGCAGUGGGGAAUUUUGGACAAUGGACGCAAGUCUGAUCCAGCCAUUCCGCGUGCAGGACGAAGGCCUUCGGGUUGUAAACUGCUUUUGUACGGAACGAAAAAGCUCUUACUAAUACUAGGAGUCCAUGACGGUACCGUAAGAAUAAGCACCGGCUAACUACGUGCCAGCCGCCGCCGUAA